GGCUGGUGAGGGUGGAGCCUCCUCAAAGCAGGUGGCAGAGCACUGUGUGUGUGUGUGUGUGUGUGUGUGUGUGUGUGUGUGUGUGAGUGAGAGUGAGAGAAAGAGACAGAGGUCUGAGGGGCAUAUGCAAGAGAAAGCAAGACAGAGGUCUGCGGGGCAUAUGCAAAAGGUGAAUUGAGACCAACUGUUGUACCUUAGAUGCCCACUUGCAAGCUUAAGACCCCAGGCGCUAUGCCAAGAACUAGGAGGUGGUACAAGAGAAGCACUAAAAACAAUAUUAGGUCAACUAACUGAGAUGACCCGUGAAACCAGGAACCUAAACCUCCAACCAAGAAGUCAUGUCCCAUGAAGAGUUUGGUUGCACAUAAGUAGCCUCAGCAACUACUCUUCGUUUUUGUUUUUGUGUGCAAGUUCUUGUGUGGAUGUGUGUUUUCAUUUCUCUUGCGUUUGUAUCUAGGAGUGAAAUUGCUGAGUAAUGCAGAAACUCUAUGUUUAACCUUUUGAGGAACCGCCAGACUGUUUUCCAAAGUGGCUGCACCAGUUUACAUUCCCAUUAGCAAUGUCUGAGGGUUCCAAUUUCUCCACAUCCUCAUCAACACCGUUUAUUAUCCUUUUUGCUUAUAAUCAUCCUACUUGGCGUUUCUAACCCACCAAACAGCUGUAUGAAAGAAAGGCCUGGCAAUCUAUUUCCAUGAAGAUUACAGCCAAGAAAACCUUUGGAAGUGGUUUUACCCUAACACAUGGGGCCGCCAUGAGUUUGAACGGACUCCAGGGUGCAGGAGUUUUUACUAUACACCGAUGACCUGUGUUGGUGUUGUUGGGUGCGGUGAGUCAACACAGCGACCCCAUGUGACAGGAUAGAACUGUUCCAUACAGUUCUGUAGUGGUUCCAACUACCAACUUUUCAGUUAGCAACUGAGCACUUAACCAUUGCACCACCAGGGCUCUUUGCAGUGCUGGGAUAUUGUGGGGGGAAGGCCUGAAUGAGAAGAAGGAGCAGCCUGGGAAGAUGUGAGGGAAUGGUGUCCCAGGCAGAAGGAACGGCAUGUGUCAUGGAUUGAAUUGUAUCCCCCCAAAAUAUGUGUUAUAAUUUCUAACCUCUAUGCCUGUGGUUAUAUUCUCAUUUGAGAGUGGGUUGUCUUUGUUAUCUUAACAAGGCAGGAUUAGUGUAGGGUAUAUAUAUGAGAUAUAAAAGAGAUUAAACGCAAGUUAGCAAGCAGAGAUGGGGAAGACAAAUGCCAAGCCACAUGAAGACUGCCCAGAAGCAGAAGCUUAGAAGAACAAGAACCUUCCUCCAGAGCCGACAGAGACAGAAAUCCUUCCUCUACAGCUGGCACCCUGAAUUUGAACUUCUGGCCUCCUAAACUGUGAGAAAAUUAAUUUGUCUGUUAAAGCCAUCCACUUGGGGUAUUUCUGUUAUAGCAGCAGGAGAUAACUAAGACAAUGUUCAAAGGCCCUGAGAGGAGAGGUGGCUGGCAGGCUGCUGGAAGAUAUUUGUCCAGGAGGAGAGAUAUGCAGAGAAGAAUGAUCUGGGCCUUAAGGGCCAAGGCAAGGGUCCAAUUACAAUGGGAAGACGUGGUGAGGAUGUAGGCAAGAAGUUGUUUCAUUUUUUAAAAUAAAAUUAUUUAGGCUUUAGUUCCUGGAUGAAGAACUGAUUGAAAGAGGCAAGACCAGAGAGACCAGCUAGGAGGACAUAACAGUCUUCCAGGACCCUGAUGAAGGUGGCAACUGGAGGGGGGAGGCGGGCGAAGCUGCACAAACCACUGGGGAUAUCAGCACAGAGAGAGUGAGAAGGCGCGCUUUACUUUCUCUUGGGUUGGGCUGAAAGGAGCGCCCACGGCUGUGCAGGAAAUGCUAGCUAUUCCGGGAAAAGGAAAGUGCUCAUGCUGUCAGCUCGGCCCAGGGGUCCACCAGACCGAAAACCUGUAAACAGAGGAUGGGAUGCAAAGUGACUUGCAACCUCUCACCAGAUUCAGUGGUGGGAGAUCAUCUGCUCCGGAUGUUCCCCCACUCAGCGAGAGGCGACAUUCUGCAUCCCACUUUGAAGAGUGGCGUCUGGGGUCUUAAACGCUAGCAAGCAGCCAUCUAAGAUGCAUCAGUUGGUCUCAACCCACCUGGAUCAAAGGAGAGUGAAGAACACCAAGGACACAAGGUGAUUACGAGCCCAAGAGACAGAAAAGGCCACAUGAACCAGAGACUACAUCAUCCUGAGACCAGAAGAACUAGAUGGUGCCUGGCUACAACCGAUGACUACCCUGACAGGGAACACAACAGAGAACCGCUGAGAGAGCAGGGGAGCAGUGGGAUGCAGAUCCCAAAUUCUCAUAAGACCAGACUUAAUGGUCUGACUGAGGCUGGAAGGACCCCGGUGGUCAUUGCACCCAGACCUUCUGUUGCCCCAGGACAGGAACCAUUCCCGAAGCUAACUCUUCAGACAGGGAUUGGACUGGACAAUGGGUUGGAUAGGGAUGCUGGUGAGGAGUGAGCUUCUUGGAUCAGGUGCACACUUGAGACUAUGUUGGAAUCUCCUGCCUAGAGGGGAGAUGAGAGGGUAGAGGGGGUUAGAAGCUGGCGUAAUGGACAGGAAAAGAGAGAGUGGAGGGAGGGAGCGAGUUGUCUCAUUGGGGGAGAGCAAUUGGGAGUAUGUAGCAAGGUGUAUAUGGGUUUUUGUGUGAGAGACUGACUUGAUUUGUAAACUUUCACUUAAAGCACAAUAAAAAUAAAAAACAAACAAAAAAAGCUGGACUAACAGCCAAAAGUUUGGCAGUUCGAACCCACCCAGAGGCACCUCAGAAGACAAACCUGGUGAUCUGCUUCUGAAAAAUCAACCGUGGAAAAUCCUAUGGAGUGGUUCUACCUCCCACACAUGGGGAAUGAACUAGAGAGGCAAUCUACAAUAUAACAAAAAAUUCACCCCGGCCUCCCUGCUGUUGAACCUUAAAAUCAAGCUCCAGCCCAUUCUCAGCUCCUUGUCCCUCCUCCCCACCCCAUCGGGGUCCAGACCCAGGUGCCUGGGACCAGACACCUGGCAGCCCCUGCUCUACAUCCACAUGCUGUGGGAUUGGACACCCCUCAGCCAGCCUCCCUGGGCCUCAGUAUCCCUCACCUGUGCACACAUUUACCACACAGGUAUGUCUUGAGGAGUUAUUGGUAUGUGAGGAUGUGUUCAGAGUAAGGGAUGAGAAACCUCAGCACCAUCAUCAUGAAGCCACCCACUCCACCUAAAUUGUGGGGAGCGUAGGGGUGGGGACAAAAUGACCCACCUGUACCAUGUCCCCAAGGUUGACUUUCAGUUGUAUCAAAGAAUCUGUCUAAAUCUUCAUGCUGUGAAGAGAGGCAGAAUUUGGGACCAACAGCCUGAUCCUUCCUCCUGGGUCCCAGGUGGCCCUGAGUGUCCUCAGUGUCACACAGUAGAACACAGCCCCCUGCCCCCUUCACAGCCCAGAGCCGACAGACAUGGGGAAGAACUUCUUACCAUUCUGGUCUUCAGCAUCCCGACAUGGUUUCUCUGUGGAGGUAAUAGUGAC